GUGACUGGUGUUCAGAGGUGUGCUGUGCCAACUUAUUGAUAGAAAAACCAUUCUUCUAUUCAAUGAAAUAUUGAUUGAUUAGUGAAUAAGCAGACGAGGCAGACACAGAGGACACUUGUUUGUCCCAGCAUUCCCAGCAGAGGACCCGAGGUGCACCCCAUGGCCCAGUCAUGCUGGUGGUGGCAGCAGGUGAAGAGUCCCCGAUUGGCUUAACCUUAUUGUAUGUUCCACCCUGGGGCGAGGUGAGGAGCCUCUUGCCCAGAAUUACAUGGGGUCCUUGGUGGAAAUCAGAGGUCAUCACAAGAAAGGCAGGGAAUGGCCCCAGCGUGGACAGUAGGUGACCACUGCAGACCUCGUGGGAUUCUGCCCCGAGGGAAAGUGCAGGGAGUCUAGUGCUGGGGUGGACUGUGUUCUUUGAUCGAAUGUCCCAAUUGAUGAAGAGAAUCUGCAGUAUGCAUCUUUUGUUUGCAGUAUACAUGGUUAGAUUAUUUGUAACAAACAAAGCAGAAACCAAAAACCUUCACAGAUGACAGGUAAAAAUAGAGCUAAAUUGUGGAGUUCUAACAUUUCUUUCAGUCCCAGGGGACUGUCUUGAGUGCCCUGCUCUGACGACCUCCGGUGUAAGGCUGUUACCCAAGGCUGAGUCAUCCCCUUGCCACUGCAUCUUCACGCCAUCUCCUUAGGUCGAGUCAUUCCUGUUCUGCUGCCGUGACUUAUGCUGUGUCUGCCCACCAGUACUGAUUUGAUAUUUUCUUUAAAUUGGCUCUCAUUUUUUGCCCAAGGUAAAUUUAUUUAUAAAGAAAGCCAGUAUCAUUUGCCAUCGGGAGAAAAUAACUGUGAAAGUACCGCAGUGAAUACAAAACAGCUGUUAGUUUCUGGCCAGAUACUGUCACCCACCCAGAGGCAGAAAGGGAGAUGAGCAAAGGUUAGAGCAGAGGCAGCCAGCUGAGCACCAGACUGAAUCUCAGAAGAGACUGAGACUGUGCAAAGGGAAGAGCUUGGUCUUUAGGACUCAGCAAUGCUCUCUCUGGUGUCCAGGCACCACAGAAAACGAUCCUGGGUUCCGAAUUCCUUGCUUGGGGAAACACCAGUCAGGUGGUUGGGCUCUCAGGAAGGAUGGACAUGAGUUUGAGUACUGACUUUAUCCCUUCACUCCUGUGCCUCAGCCUCUACACUGUAAUAUGGGUCUACCUUGAAGGGUGGCUGGGAUUAGAUGGAAUUAUAUUUUCAGAUCUCUUCACACAUAACAUGUAGUUGAUAGAUGUAAGCUUUUAUCAUCAGUGGUUUGUUAUUUGAGCUGUCCUGUAUUGUUUCAUGAGUCAGUCCCCUUUCUCAGCAUUCCUUGAGCUCUGGGGGGGCGGUCCCUUUAGUUUCCACUGAGGACCGUAUCCUUGGAGCCUCAGAAAACAGAGCAGCUCAUCACCAACUGGUCCCUGGAUGCUGUGAAGACAGGCCUCACCAACACAGAUGCCAGCGAGGUCCAGGCCGGGGGCAUUCGUGAGGGAUAGGGGUCACGGGAGGACUGUGAGGAAGACAGGAGUGUCCAAAGAGGAUGGCCCUUGGUCAGCGCCAGCUGAUUCGUGCCCUGGGGGGAAUGCUUCUGGCCUUUAAAUGUUGGCUCCUGGCUAAUGCUUUCCUUCUGUAAGUUACACGGGGUGAGCAAAACUUACUUGUAAUCCGUGGCCUGAGCCCAUCUGUUUGUUAGUUCCAUCCACCACUUUUGCCUCUACGCCGUUGACCUUGAAGCUUAAGUCUUGGUUGUUCGCUCAUUCAUAGCUCCUUGGAUGGUAAGCAGUGCCAGCAGCACAGCUCGGAGCUGACAAACGAUCGUCCUAAUCCAGCAGUCCAUCUCUCUGGGAAAAUCCUGAAACCUCCCAAGCCACCCAGACAUCCGUUUUUACAGCCCCAAUAACUCCAUCAGGUAAUGAAAGAUAUCGAGGGAAAUUAGAGCAGCAGAAACGACAAAAGCGAAGUUUCAACCAGGACACAAGCUCUGAGCGACUUCACCCCAAAGGCUCUUUCUCUCUCUCUGGCCCUUUAUGUAACCAUCCGUAACGGUGGGUCUGUUACAGCGAUGUUGCAGAGCGACCGCCUUGUGAGAGGCACGGAAACCGUGUGAUUAUGCUGAAGUUUAAACUGAUUUUCCUCUGCAAAAUUUUGCCCUCACUAGCACUUUUAGCUCAUUUCUGCAGUUCUGAGGCUUCUUCCUAAUGGGAGAAGAGAAUCAAAAUCUAAAAUGCCCACGUUUUGACUGUCGCCAUUCCAGUCGGCUCCUCUUGAAAGGCAUCUGUCAGAAGGGCCGCAUUGUUAGCAGGUCACAGGCGUCUGUUUGCAUGGUAUCGGAGCAGAUUUUAAUUUGACAAGGAAAUCUGCCAAAAGCAGAAGCAAUGGAAAGCCAGCACGAGGUGACUUGGGAAAGAUUUGCUUUGUGCAAGUCAAUCGAAUGCGUGCUAGCAGCAUUCCUUUAAAGGUUAAUUGUGAUACUAACCGUUAGGAAAAAUCUAAUUAAUAAUAACAGGGGAAAAAAAGCCAUAUGUGAGUAAUAUUGAGGUAGUGACAAGGACUUUAUAAAAUCAAAAAUUCAACGUUGAGGUUUAGAUUUGAU